UAGAUACCAUACCACAAGCACCAGUUAUUGUAUCAGAAUUAUUUAAUGCAAGGCAAGCACCAACAGGAUUGUCUAUGCAGACUCGACCAAUGUCUGUUGCAGAUAAAGACAAUUUCCAGAAAGGUGGGGAAUUAUGCCAACUAACAACUUUAAUAUGUUUACACAUUGGUUUAUGAGGAGAGCAGAUAGAGCUAAAAAAGGAGGUCUUAACUUAGAGGAAUGGACAGAACUGUUAGAAUACGCUAUGGAUCCUUUUGCUAGUACACUAUUGGGAUUUAAUAACAGUGUGUCUGAUCAGGCAGGAAGAAUUGCUGCAACUAAUUUCUAUCUACUUAGCAUAGAGAAAGAAAUAGCGAAUAUUAUGAGGCCAACAGAUGUUCCUAGAGAGGUAGCCCAUCGGCUAUUGUUCUGGUCUACAUUGCGCCAACCUCAACAGCCCCUGGUGUUGAGCUCACCAGAACACAUUGCUAAAGUAAUGGAAGCCAUUCCCUGGGAGUGUCAAUAAUUUGUCAGGCUUUUUGAUCCAAC